AUUGAACGCUGGCGGCAGGCCUAACACAUGCAAGUCGAACGAGUGGCGGACGGGUGAGUAAUGUCUGGGAAACUGCCUGAUGGAGGGGGAUAUCUACUGGAAACGGUAGCUAAUACCGCAUACCAUCGGAUGUGCCCAGAUGGGCUUAGUUAGUAGGUGGGGUAAAGGCUCACCUAGGCGACGAUCCCUAGCUGGUCGGAGAGGAUGACCACCAACACUGGAACUGUGACACGGUCCAGACUCAAACGGGGGGCAGCAUGGGGGAAUAUUGGACAAGGGGCGAAAGCCUGAUGCAGCCAUGCCGCGGAUAUGAAGAAGGCCUUCGAGUUGUAAAGUACUUUCAGCGGGGAGGCGUUACCCGCAGAGGAAGCACCGGCUAACUCCGUGCCAGCAGCCGCGGUAAUAC
rnacentral:rRNA from 1 species